AUUGAACGCUGGCGGCAGGCCUAACACAUGCAAGUCGAGCGGAUGAAGGGAGCUUGCUCCUGUAUUCAGCGGCGGACGGGUGAGUAAUUCCUAGGAAUCUGCCUUGUAUUGGGGGAUAACGUCCGUACACGGGCGCUAAUACCGCAUCCGUCCUGAGGUUGAACGUGGGGGAUCUUCGGACCUCACGCUAUCAGAUGAGCCUAGGUCGGAUUAGCUAGUUGGUGGGGUAAAGGCCUACCAAGGCGACGAUCCGUAACUGGUCUGAGAGGAUGAUCUGUCACACUGGAACUGAGACACGGUCCAGACUCCUACGGGAGGCAGCAGUGGGGAAUAUUGGACAAAGGGCGAAAGCCUGAUCCAGCCAUGCCGCGUGAGUGAAGAAGGUCUUCGGAUUGUAAAGCACUGUAAGUUGGGAGGAAGGGAAGUAAGUUAAAACCUUGAUGUUUUGACGGUACCAAAAGAAUAAGCACCGGCUAACUUCGUG
rnacentral:rRNA from 1 species